UUGAAUAAUUGCGAAAAAGUAGAACCUUUUCUUCGGGAGCAUAAAGAAGAGUUGAUGAAGCAAGUUGUUGCGAAUAUAGAAGAGAAACAUAGAGAACAAUUUCCUUUAUGGUUCAAAAAGAAAAUUAUGCAAUUAUAUAAUAAGGAAAAGUCAGUGUCUAUCAAUCAGUUAUAUCCUUUGGCAAUAGGACCUGAUGUGAGUGGAAGAACAUAUACU